rnacentral:rRNA from 1 species
CCGGCCUCACAUCUGCAAGUCUCACGGUGGCAGCAAUGUCAUUCAUGGCGCACGGGUGCGUCACCCGUUCACUCACCUGCCCAGCCCUGGGGGUCCGCCCGCCGCAAGGCGGCUGUCAUCCCGCAUCAUCUGCUCUCGCGGCAUCGCUUCGUCAUUCAAUCUUUCUCGGGUUUGGCUGGGGUUGCGGGUCAUUCGCUCAUUGGUCAGGUCAUGGCUUCCCAAGGCUCCUCUGUCCUCGGGGCGCUGAUCGGCUGGUCCCCCACACGGGCACUGAGUCUACGGGCCCGACUCCUCAGGGAGGCAGCAGUAGGGAAUUUUGGGCAAUGGGCGAAAGCCUGACCCAGCCAUGCCGCGUGCAGGAAGAAGGCUUUCUGAGUCGUAAACUGCUUUUGAUAGGGAAGAAUAACCAGUACGUGUACUGGGAUGACGGUACCUACAGAAUAAGCACCGGCUAACUCCGUGCCAGCAGCCGCGGUAAU